UACGUAGGGUGCAAGCGUUGUCCGGAAUUAUUGGGCGUAAAGAGCUCGUAGGCGGUUUGUCGCGUCUGCUGUGAAAACGCGAGGCUCAACCUCGCGCCUGCAGUGGGUACGGGCAGACUAGAGUGCGGUAGGGGAGAUUGGAAUUCCUGGUGUAGCGGUGGAAUGCGCAGAUAUCAGGAGGAACACCGAUGGCGAAGGCAGAUCUCUGGGCCGUAACUGACGCUGAGGAGCGAAAGCGUGGGAGCGAACAGG
rnacentral:rRNA from 1 species